rnacentral:piRNA from 2 species
UGAAUGGUGACCAGUGGAACCGAGGCUGGA